GACGAACGCUGGCGGCGUGCUUAACACAUGCAAGUCGAACGCAGUGGCGAACGGGUGCGUAACGCGUAAUCAACCUGCACUUCAGUGGGGGCCAACAGUUGGAAACGACUGCUAUUACCGCUUACUGUAGGACGGGUUUGUGUCUGCUUGGCUAGUUGGAGGGGUAACGGCCCACCAAGGCGAUGAUCAGUAGCCGGUCUGAGAGGAUGAACAGCCACAUUGGGACUGAGACACGGCCCAGAAUCCUACGGGAGGCAGCAGGUGGGAAUCUUCCGCAAUGGGCGAAAGUCUGACGGAGCAACGCCGCGGGAGUGAUGACGGCCUUCGGGUUGUAAAGCUCUGUUAAUCGGGACGCGGUACCGGAAUAGAAAGCCACGGCUAACUACGUGCCAGCAGCCGCGGUAAUUC
rnacentral:rRNA from 1 species